UACGUAGGUGGCGAGCGUUGUCCGGAUUUAUUGGGCGUAAAGAGCCCGCAGGCGGUCGUUCAAGUCGAGUGUGAAAGCCCCCGGCUCAACUGGGGAGGGUCAUUCGAUACUGAUCGACUUGAAGGCAGGAGAGGGAAGCGGAAUUCCCGGUGUAGUGGUGAAAUGCGUAGAUAUCGGGAGGAACACCAGUGGCGAAGGCGGCUUCCUGGCCUGUUCUUGACGCUGAGGCGCGAAAGCUAGGGGAGCAAACGGG
rnacentral:rRNA from 1 species